CCUUUACUGUGGCAAAGGUCAAGUUGUUGGCAUACUCAAUUGUAAAUGUGCAAAAAAAAAAAAGGGAAAGAAAAGCAAUGCAUUAUCCUCAUCAGAUCAGGCAAACAUGAAAAAUAACAUCAACUGAGAGUAUAUGAAAAAAAGAAUUAUAUGGCUUAACCCUGCAGCCUGGCCAUCCACAUGCCAUGCUCUCCAAUCAUUAGCUAUGAAGAAGUUAAAGGAUCCUAUCCAUGCCUGAGUGCUCAAAAAUGGCAGUAUGAGAUCAUGGUCACCGCUGCACUCACAGAUCAACAUCAUUGUAAUUUUAAGAUAUAGAAUAAUAUUCAACAUGUACGAAUGAUUCAGAUAAUUGAUUUUUCUCCUUUGGUGAUAUUUCACCUCAUCACAAGUGCUCGGUAACCUCUUGUGGUCAAAUUAAAAUGGUAAUUCAAGCUGCUUGGGAUGUCUUGAGCAUAGGGAAGUACACCUUUAUUGCAUCUCAACCAUUCAUCGAUGGUUCCCUGUAGCCAUAUUUGUGCAAUUAGUGCAUCAGUUUUGCUUACUUCAUGUGCAAGAUGAUACAUAUAUUCUACUAUUAUGUUUUAAGAUUUGAAAAGCAUUUCAUAUAAGGAAAGCCCCUAUCUAUGCCCAUGUUUGUAAAGGCAGGACAUAUCAUAUGGUUACCUUCUUGAUCUUAAGAGCAUCUCUGGUCGUAUUGUCAUUCAUCCAGCAGUAUGAUAGGUAGUAACGAUAUGACUGCAUUCAAUAAAGAAAUAAGAAGAAAAUUAACAUUACAAAAACAUGACGAUGAACCCUGCAAUGUAAUGUAUCUACACAACCUUCUGUCUAAUAUCAACUUACUAAGCAAUCAAUAGAAGGUCGAAUAGGUGGCUUGUGUAGCUGAUUGUAUUCUUCCAGCAGUGCCCUGCUUGCUGAAACAUCUAUUGUGGGUUUUGGUGCAGCUUUAACACAUUUAUCCUCUAAGAUAUUUCCAUCCGAAACUUCAGACAUGAGCUACACAUGGGAUUUGUGCAGUAAGAUAAUACUAGAUGAAUAUUAGUAAACAUAGAAAUUAGUACAGUGCAAUAACCUUACUUUAUGAAUAGUAGACAAGACAUUAGCACACAAUUGGUUUGUUGGGUUCACAAAAUGUCCUUUGCAAUGUGUUACCGCUGCCUUCAAAGAGAAAUAGGAAAUGUUAUGCAGUAGUGUUACCCCACUGAAAUUGAGUGUUUAGAUAUGAAGUUACCUCGUACAAUUGAUCAGAUAUGAUUCCAACGCCAUGAGAAUAGGGAACAUGGAAAUUUUUAUCAAAUUUUGAACCUGUAAUGGGGUUGCCAACUAUAUAUCCCUGUAACUGAUUUCGUAUUCAGGCACAAGAAAUAGUAAGAGACAU
rnacentral:sRNA from 1 species